GCUGGGCAUGGUGGUGCACUCCUGUAAUCCCAGCAGCUUGGGAAGCAGAGGCAGGUGGAUUGUGAGUUCAAAGCCAGCCUCAGUAAUGGCAAGGCACUAAGGAACUCAGUGAGACCCUGUCUCUA
rnacentral:sRNA from 1 species